rnacentral:rRNA from 1 species
UACGUAGGGAGCAAGCGUUGUCCGGAAUCAUUGGGCGUAAAGCGCGCGUAGGUGGCUUCGUAAGUCCGUUGUGAAAGUCAAAGGCUCAACCUUGGAAAGCCGAUGGAUACUGCGGAGCUAGAGUACGGAAGAGGCGAGUGGAAUUCCUGGUGUAGCGGUGGAAUGCGCGGAUAUCAGGAGGAACACCAAUAGCGAAGGCAGCUCGCUGGGACGUUACUGACACUGAGGCGCGAAAGCGUGGGGAGCGAACAGG